rnacentral:rRNA from 1 species
UGACGAAGUCUGCACGGACUAUGCCGCGUGAACGAUGAAGGUCUUCGGAUCGUAAAGUUCUGUUGUCAGGGAAAACAAGUGCCGUGCGAAUAGAGCGGACCUUGACGGUACCUGACGAGGAAGCCCCGGCUAACUACGUGCCAGCAGCCGCGGUAAUACGUAGGGGGCAAGCGUUGUCCGGAAUUAUUGGGCGUAAAGCGCGCGCAGGCGGUUCCUUAAGUCUGAUGUGAAAGCCCACGGCUCAACCGUGGAGGGUCAUUGGAAACUGGGGAACUUGAGUACAGAAGAGGAGAGUGGAAUUCCACGUGUAGCGGUGAAAUGCGUAGAUAUGUGGAGGAACACCAGUGGCGAAGGCGACUCUCUGGUCUGUAACUGACGCUGAGGCGCGAAAGCGUGGGGAGCAAACAGGAUUAGAUACCCUGGUAGUCCACGCCGUAAACGAUGAGUGCUAAGUGUUAGGGGGCUUCCACCCCUUAGUGCUGAAGUUAACGCAUUUAAGCACUCCGCCUGAGGAGUACGGGCGCAAGGCUGAAACUCAAAGGAAUUGACG